rnacentral:lncRNA from 1 species
AUGGAGUUGGAUUGACAAAUAUGAAGCUGUUGAAGCCAUGUUGGAGUUCCAUUAGAGCUUAGGCUUUUAUCUUCUCUAAUGAAUAAUCUUUUUGGGAUACCAGUCUUCCUUUCCAAUUUAGCUUUAAAACAAUCUUAUUUUAGUUGUAUUACUACUCUUCUUGAGUCGAGGAUCUAUCGGAAACAUCAUUUUUAUUUUUUCGGAUGUAGUGGUAUGGACUGCGUGUAUUUUACCUUUCCCAGACCUCACUUUGUGAGAAUACACUGGCCUGUUGUUGUUUGUUGUUGUAGUAUUACUACUCUCCGUUAAAAGAGUUGUUUGGAGUUGGAUUGACAAAUAUGAAGCUGUUGAAGCCAUGUUGGAGUUCAAUUAGAGCUUAAGCUUUUAUCUUCUCUAAUGAAUAAUCUUUUUGGGACC